UCCUGAUAUUGAUCAUGAAGUAUUGAUCAGAAUACUUAUGGUCAGCAGUCAUCCCUGAAGUUUUACAUUGAAAUCUUUACUUGUGUUGUGAACUUUGGUAAGAAGCAGAAACGUUAGCGUUGCCAUGGAUACAUGAGUGUUAAAUUCUGUCCAUGUUUCCAUUUUGGGAAAUGCAGUCCAGUUCCAGAAUGUGGAGGAAUUUAGUCUCACAAUCACAGACAACAAAUAUUAUCUGAAAGUCGGGUUAUUGUUGUUUAUCAGCACAAUACAAAAAGAUUAAUGUUAGAAAUAUUCCAGUUAAGACUCUAGAACAUCAUGAUUUAUGUAAAUUUACUUCAAUAAUAUGAAUGUUCAGGUUAAGAUUGUACAGUGAUAUUUAUUAUGUAAGUUUAGCUGAUUAAAGUUUAGGACUCUGCACUAAAAUAUUAUUUAAAUUGACAUUAUUAUUUUUAUAAUAUUUAGGGUCAGACCCUACAGUAUUGAGAUUAAGAAAUCAAACAUUCUAUAAAAUGUAAAUACACUGAACUCAUUUGGAUAUAUUUAAGUGAGACUCUACAAUAUUAUUUGACACAAAUCAAAAUUUUAAUAAUUUUCAUGCCAAACAUUUACUGGACUGAUUUAAAUAUUAAAAUCACUCCUUUCUAAUCUUCUGCUGUACGUUCAAACCUUAGGCCUUAAAUAGAAACACACAAGUAUCUGAUUGAAGGAACUUCUGCAGAGUCCUGGUUCCAGAACAUGAUGAUAGAAUUAUAGACAAACUUUAACAAAAGCUGCCUGAGAGUUUACAGGUUUUUAUGUUAGAUUUCUUCAGUAAUUUAAUGAGCGUUAUCAGCAAAAAUCAAGUGUUUAUUUGAUGAACUUCAUUUCCUAAAACAUCCAGAAUUGGAGCUCAUAUCUUUGGCAGCUGUAAAGUUUCUGCUCCUUCAAAGUUCACAACACAAUGAAUGAAUUCCUAAAACACUCUCAAUGCUGGAGAGCGUUUGUGAUGCUGAAGCAGUGACCAGUUUUUCUGUUUCUUCUUUGGAGAUGCACAAUGAGGGACGUCUGCAGAGACUGAGAAAGAGUCUCACCACAUCCUGACAUGAGGAAAAAGACUUUAUUGAAGACUACAAUGAGAAAAACUAUCAGACAGCAGACGGCUGCAUUCAAGGCUACAGGAGGAGUCCUACGAGGACGAGCCGGUCCACCUGAUGGCGGCCAGUCGCUGCGGUUCAAAGCCAACACCGACUACGUGGAC
ensembl:lncRNA